AACCGUUCAGGGUAAACCUGAGAAACCCGAAAAGUCGAAAGGGGAAAUUUCAUUCGCGUUUCGAUCGUUGAAGUGAAACGUGUUUGUAUGACGGAUGAUGCGUCGUUUUGCGGCGUAUGUGUCCGCGUCUCAUGUUUUUCGAAUCGACGUCGAACGUGUGCACUUUUCCUCUAGUAGGACGUCGUGAUCCGUUGGGUGUCUGUCUAAGACUCGAGGUGGAGACCACGUAAUUAUUAUGUGGACCCUCGAUGUUCCGAUAGACUCUCUCGACGGUAUAAAUAUGGCGCGGGGCCGCUAUCAAUAAUUAGUUAGCGUUCGGCCCGUAGCAAGCACGUUUCGUGUUUGACGGUGAUCGGACCUAGUGCCGAUUCUGUCCCGAAACGACUGUUGGUUACGGUGUUUUUAUCUCGAACAGACCUCGUUUUGAAACGCCAAUCGACGACGCUAUAGAUUUGGGUACUUUCAGGACCCGUCUUGAA
rnacentral:rRNA from 1 species